GCUAAUACUUUUCUCGUCCAGAUUUUCACCUAAUUAAGGUUUUGGAUGAGGAAGACAGAAUCUUUCAGCCAUAUUAGGUGUCAUCUCCUCUUCGGACAGUAAUGAGAUUUUUCAAACAAAAACAAGUGUCGGAAAGUAGCUAAGUUCAUACGAAAACAUGCAUCCUUUAUCCUUAUCUCUGCCAAAACAAUCAACUGCCCAUCUUAAUUAGUUUAUCGGCUGGCGGCUUGAAAGUCAAUUAUCACCAACCAUUAGCUGCCAGUUAUGGUAGACUAUAAAUUCCCACCUCGAUCCGAACAACAUUAGAUCGUAACAAAGAAACAGCACAAAAGAGCGAAGCGGAAUUUAAAACAAGUUAAUGGCAUCUACAUAUUGCGAAGGUAAGAGUUCAUGGCCAGAGCUUCUUGGAGUAGAGGGGAAGGUCGCUGCUGCAACGAUCGAGAGAGAAAAUCCUCUUGUUAGAGCUAAAAUGGUGCCUGAAGGAUCAGCAGUCAUCCACAACUUCCGGUGUGAUAGGGUUUGGGUUUGGGUUGAUAAAAAUAACAUUGUCUAUACAGUCCCUGUGAUUGGUUAAGACACAAAAAAAACUCCAAUAUUUUCUUGGUUAUUUGUUAAAUGCUGUUGCAUCACUGACUGUCUGGAAUAAAAUUUAAAUAAGGAGGCUCCGAUCUCCAUGCAUUCAUUGAUUGAUAAAAUUGUAUUUCUCCAUGUAUUGUCAUGAAAUUUAAUAGCAAUAAAUAUGUAUACAUUUAUACCCUUAA